rnacentral:lncRNA from 1 species
AGGAAAGAGGCCUGGAUUUAGGAGGUGAGAAUCAUGCUUUCCUCCCCCUAAAUCUGAUGCCUGAGUGAGCUUUGCAGCAUGACAGACAGAGCCUGAAAUUCUUUGCUGAGGGCCAACUCAAGGUGUUAGAAGAUCUUCCUCCUAUGUAUCCCAAUUCAGAAAAGAUUAUACAUUUUCCUGAAACUCUGGUUAACAAGUAUUGAUCUAAAAGACUUCAUGUUUCUGUAGAGUGCUGGUGUGGUUACUCAAGCAAGUAAGAUUGUUCCUCAGUCGAUAGUGCCUGCCGCUGCCAUAUGUGUGUCAACAUGUGCUGGCUGCUGAAAGUGGCUCUUCCUGAUGUUCCCAUUUGAUCAUGAAACCCUAUUAUGGCCGCUCACUCUACCACUCCAUAAUGUUUAAUAUGUCUUGCUAACCUAAGACCGUGAAAUUAUUGCUAAGAAUUAUCAUGUUGUGGCUGAGCAGAGUCCUUAAAGGGCAGUACUGCCAGGCUAGAGUGCUCACUGUUCUUUUUACCUGGAAUUUUCCUUGGGGCUUAGAAAGGAGUCUAAAUAUGUGAAAGUCUUCCUCUUAGAAUUGAUACUGUUAACAUACAACUCAGAAGUAUCAGAAGAAGGUGAGAAAUCUCUCCUCCUUGCACAGCCUGGGUUGGCUGGAUCAUCAUUACCAGGCUUGAUACCUGGCUUACACAGCCCACAGAGGAAUGCCAACAACCAAAGGACCUGUGGAGUGGAGGAAGAGCUGGUACAAAUGACUGGUUGGUUGCUGCCAAAAGAAUUGGAGGGAAGAAAGUGAUGAGAGCUGCUUGGGGUAAUGUACAAGUUGCUUGGUCCACCUGGACAGUCAAGUCAAGUGGGGCCUUCAACUUGGGUGUUUUACCAAGGAAUUCAUGGGCCUACUCUUGCUCUUCCCUGCAUGCCUAGCUUUUUGAUUCUGAAACCAUAUCUGAAUUCUGGAUUCUGAAAUUCCUCUGUAGUCCAAUUCUUCUGUAGUAGCAAUUCGAGGAAAUCAAUUAUUCUUAAAGGUUUGAAAGAUACUGGUUUGUGACUUACUGAUAGGUGUUUGCUUUUGUUUGGCUUCUUGGCAAUGUUCU